AACAACAAUAUGAAUCGACGAACCUCUUUUGUAUUUUCUGUGCCUGAAGACCAAAGAUGUAAAUUUUGUACAGACGACGAGGCCUUAAAACAUGCCGCAGAGGAAUGGAUCAGAUUGGAUCUGCAUGUACACCUGCUGUUGCCUGUCCACAUAUGAGUGCAGUUCAGCAUCCGGACACUAGAUGGCGCACAUGUCUCAGUGAUGGUACAGAUACUUCCCAUUCUACCACACACUGUUUUGAGACUCAAGGACUCCGCAUGACACAGGAUACCAAGAACCUGCGAUUGACCACAACUGGAUCUUGAGAACAGGCUCAAAUCAUGCGGUGUCUAAGAGCCUCAAGAAUCCUCUACUACUUUGCAUUAUCCUUUUAGUCGCUGGCCCAUGGAAAAUUUUA